UAAUACGGAGGGGGCAAGCGUUGUUCGGAAUUAUUGGGCGUAAAGAGUAUGUAGGCGGCUGGGUAAGUCAGGCGUGCAAGCCCACGGCUCAACCGUGGAAUUGCGUCUGAAACUAUUCGGCUUGAGUGCAGGAGAGGAAAGCGGAAUUCCCAGUGUAGCGGUGAAAUGCAUUGAUAUUGGGAAGAACACCGGUGGCGAAGGCGGCUUUCUGGUCUGCUACUGACGCUGAGAUACGAAAGCCAGGGGAGCAAAGGGGAUUAGAUACCCCCGUAGUCCUGGCCGUAAACGAUGGGCACUAGGUGCGGGAGGUAUCGAUCCCUUCCGUGUCGCAGCUAACGCAUUAAGUGCCCCGCCUGGGGAGUACGGUCGCAAGGCUG
rnacentral:rRNA from 1 species